UACGGAGGGAGCUAGCGUUAUUCGGAAUUACUGGGCGUAAAGCGCACGUAGGCGGCUUUGUAAGUUAGAGGUGAAAGCCUGGAGCUCAACUCCAGAACUGCCUUUAAGACUGCAUCGCUUGAAUCCAGGAGAGGUGAGUGGAAUUCCGAGUGUAGAGGUGAAAUUCGUAGAUAUUGGGUGGAACACCGGUGGCGAAAGCGGCUCUCUGGCCCGGUUCUGACGCUGAGGCGCGAAAGCGUGGGGAGCAAACAGG
rnacentral:rRNA from 1 species